GACGAACGCUGGCGGCGUGCCUAAUACAUGCAAGUCGAGCGAAGUUUUUCCGGUGCUUGCACUAGAAAAACUUAGCGGCGAACGGGUGAGUAACACGUAAAGAACCUGCCUCAUAGACUGGGACAACUAUUGGAAACGAUAGCUAAUACCGGAUAACAGUAUUUCUCGCAUGAGAGAUAUUUAAAAGUUGGUUAUGCUAACACUAUGAGAUGGCUUUGCGGUGCAUUAGCUAGUUGGUGGGGUAAAGGCCCACCAAGGCGACGAUGCAUAGCCGACCUGAGAGGGUGAUCGGCCACACUGGGACUGAGACACGGCCCAGACUCCUACGGGAGGCAGCAGUAGGGAAUCUUCCGCAAUGGGCGAAAGCCCGACGGAGCAACGCCGCGUGAGUGAAGAAGGAUUUCGGUUCGUAAAGCUCUGUUGUUAGGGAAGAAUGGAUAUGUAGUAACUAUACAUGUAAGAGACGGUACCUAACCAGAAAGCCACGGCUAACUACGUG
rnacentral:rRNA from 1 species